rnacentral:lncRNA from 1 species
CCGAGUUCAUUCCCUUGACGUAAGCAGUCUCUUCACACAAGAAUAGAGAAUACUAUUAAUCCUGAGGUCAAAUCACAGCUAGGGGAGACUUUGGCCUCCAAAGCCAGCAUUUCCCUACUGUCUUGAUCCCAUAGACACAAAAUCACAAAUCUAAAAAACAAAACAACCGUGUGCCUGGCUUGGUUUAAAUUCUCUCUCAAGCAGGCCUCUUAACUGUGAGAAAGUUCAAAUUCUCAACAUGUAUUAACAAAAGGUGUUCACAACAUAAUGCCUGGUUGUGCCCAAUAAUGGCUUUGCUCUGUGAAUUCAUUGUUUCUUCGUGACAAAGGCUGAGCUCUGGAACUUCUGGGUAUGGCUUGGCAGGGCAUUUUUACUUGGCGUGGCUCUCUUAAGUGGGUAGAAAAGGCUUGGUUGGGCACCUGGUA